UUUUGACGGAGAGUUUGAUCCUGGCUCAGGACGAACGCUGGCGGCGUGCUUAACACAUGCAAGUCGAACGAUGAUGCCCAGCUUGCUGGGCGGAUUAGUGGCGAACGGGUGAGUAAUACGUGAGUAACCUGCCCUUGACUCUGGGAUAAGCCUGGGAAACUGGGUCUAAUACUGGAUACUACCUCUUACCGCAUGGUGGGUGGUGGAAAGGGUUUUACUGGUUUUGGAUGGGCUCACGGCCUAUCAGCUUGUUGGUGGGGUAAUGGCUCACCAAGGCGACGACGGGUAGCCGGCCUGAGAGGGUGACCGGCCACACUGGGACUGAGACACGGCCCAGACUCCUACGGGAGGCAGCAGUGGGGAAUAUUGCACAAUGGGCGGAAGCCUGAUGCAGCGACGCCGCGUGAGGGAUGACGGCCUUCGGGUUGUAAACCUCUUUCAGUAGGGAAGAAGCGAGAGUGACGGUACCUGCAGAAGAAGCGCCGGCUAACUACGUGCCAGCAGCCGCGGUAAUACGUAGGGCGCAAGCGUUGUCCGGAAUUAUUGGGCGUAAAGAGCUCGUAGGCGGUUUGUCGCGUCUGCUGUGAAAGCCCGGGGCUCAACCCCGGGUCUGCAGUGGGUACGGGCAGACUAGAGUGCAGUAGGGGAGACUGGAAUUCCUGGUGUAGCGGUGAAAUGCGCAGAUAUCAGGAGGAACACCGAUGGCGAAGGCAGGUCUCUGGGCUGUUACUGACGCUGAGGAGCGAAAGCAUGGGGAGCGAACAGGAUUAGAUACCCUGGUAGUCCAUGCCGUAAACGUUGGGCACUAGGUGUGGGGGACAUUCCACGUUUUCCGCGCCGUAGCUAACGCAUUAAGUGCCCCGCCUGGGGAGUACGGCCGCAAGGCUAAAACUCAAAGGAAUUGACGGGGGCCCGCACAAGCGGCGGAGCAUGCGGAUUAAUUCGAUGCAACGCGAAGAACCUUACCAAGGCUUGACAUUCACCGGACCGCCCCAGAGAUGGGGUUUCCCUUCGGGGCUGGUGGACAGGUGGUGCAUGGUUGUCGUCAGCUCGUGUCGUGAGAUGUUGGGUUAAGUCCCGCAACGAGCGCAACCCUCGUUCUAUGUUGCCAGCACGUGAUGGUGGGGACUCAUAGGAGACUGCCGGGGUCAACUCGGAGGAAGGUGGGGAUGACGUCAAAUCAUCAUGCCCCUUAUGUCUUGGGCUUCACGCAUGCUACAAUGGCCGGUACAAAGGGUUGCGAUACUGUGAGGUGGAGCUAAUCCCAAAAAGCCGGUCUCAGUUCGGAUUGAGGUCUGCAACUCGACCUCAUGAAGUCGGAGUCGCUAGUAAUCGCAGAUCAGCAACGCUGCGGUGAAUACGUUCCCGGGCCUUGUACACACCGCCCGUCAAGUCACGAAAGUUGGUAACACCCGAAGCCGGUGGCCUAACCCCUUGUGGGAGGGAGCCGUCGAAGGUGGGACUGGCGAUUGGGACUAAGUCGUAACAAGGUAGCCGUACCGGAAGGUGCGGCUGGAUCACCUCCUUUCU
rnacentral:rRNA from 1 species